UACGGAAGGGGCAAGCGUUGUUCGGAAUCAUUGGGCGUAAAGGGCGCGUAGGUGGUUCUGUAUGUCUACCGUGAAAGCGUACGGCUCAACCGUAUUUUGUCGGUGGAAACUGGCAGGACGUUGAGGCUGGGAGGGGCUGGUGGAAUUCCCUGUGUAGCGGUGAAAUGCGUAGAGAUGGGGGAGACACUCGUGGCGAAGGCGGCCAGCUAGACCAGUUCUGACACUGAGGCGCGACAGCGUGGGGAGCAAACAGG
rnacentral:rRNA from 1 species